rnacentral:rRNA from 1 species
UACGUAGGGUGCGAGCGUUUGUCCGGAAUUAUUGGGCGUAAAGAGCUUGUAGGCGGUUUGUCGCGUCUGCCGUGAAAAUCCGGGGCUCAACCCCGGACUUGCGGUGGGUACGGGCAGACUAGAGUGUGGUAGGGGAGACUGGAAUUCCUGGUGUAGCGGUGAAAUGCGCAGAUAUCGGGAAGAACACCCGUGGCGAAGGCGGCUCUCUGGGACGGUACUGACGCUGAGACGCGAAAGCGUGGGGAGCGAACAGG